rnacentral:tRNA from 1 species
UGGGGCAUUAGCUCAGCUGGGAGAGUGCUUGCAUGGCAUGCAAGAGGUCACGGGUUCGAGCCCCGUAUGCUCCAUC